rnacentral:rRNA from 1 species
AUCGAACGCUGGCGGCAUGCCUUACACAUGCAAGUCGAACGGUAACAGGUCUUCGGAUGCUGACGAGUGGCGAACGGGUGAGUAAUACAUCGGAACGUGCCUAGUAGUGGGGGAUAACUACUCGAAAGAGUGACUAAUACCGCAUGAGAUCUACGGAUGAAAGCAGGGGAUCGCAAGACCUUGUGCUACUAGAGCGGCCGAUGGCAGAUUAGGUAGUUGGUGGGAUAAAAGCUUACCAAGCCGACGAUCUGUAGCUGGUCUGAGAGGACGAUCAGCCACACUGGGACUGAGACACGGCCCAGACUCCUACGGGAGGCAGCAGUGGGGAAUUUUGGACAAUGGGCGAAAGCCUGAUCCAGCAAUGCCGCGUGCAGGAUGAAGGCCUUCGGGUUGUAAACUGCUUUUGUACGGAACGAAAAGCCCCGGGUUAAUACCCUGGGGUCAUGACGGUACCGUAAGAAUAAGCACCGGCUAACUACGUGCCAGCAGCCGCAGUAA